CCAGCACAGACCUUUCCAUCGCCUCGUCAAGGAGGGGCAGCCAAGAGCAGAGAGUGGAAAUCAGACCAAAGGGGAGAAAGCGUUAAGGGUGCUGCCAACUCCUGGAUGGCCUCAAUGGACGUUCAUGAAAAAGAAAGCAGACCCUCUCGUUCUCACGCAGAGGAGACAAGGCCCAGGUUCAGAGUGUUUCGGGGAAUAAGUUGAAAUCCAUUUUAAGGACACACAGAGUGUGAAACGGUAAAGAAAAUGUCUCUAAACAUGAAAAGACAGAGUAAACACAUGCUUUUAUGCUCUGAGCAGAAAAGCACUUAACUGAGAAUGAAGCAUUAAUUUUUGCGCUAAUUCAAGAAAAGGUUUAGAGAAACUGCUACAAUGAUGUGCACAAAUGAUGCACUGUUGUGGAGGUUGAACUAAUAGUUGUGAAAACUUUACUUCUGAUCUGAGAAAUGCACCAAAGAGACUGAGAAAAACUGUAAACAAAGACAGCAUGUACGCAUUUCAACCUUUCAAGCCAGGGCACUCAUGCACAUUUCUACCCAUCAAGCUGGGAGAAACAUGUACGCAUUUCUACCCUUGAAGCUGGGAGCGUGGAUACAUCAUUUUGUAAAAUUCUGUAGUUUAUCAAUCAUUUCUGGAGUCGUGGCGGAUCAAAUCAUCAUACCCAUCCGCCUCUGAUAGGCUAAUAAAGCUUAAUAAAGCGAUCAGAUUCAUGCUCGCAUCUUGCUACGUGCUUCGUGAGGAAAGUAAAUAAUGACGGAGGUAGAGAGCAGCUUCGGAGGAGAAGCAUCCAGCAGUGUGAACAACCUCUUCAUAUUGAGUGCUUUGGAUCACACUAUCAGCAUUUUCUGUGAGUGUUGCAUGACUUUUGGUGAGCACAGAGAUGAACACACUGUCAGCCAUGUAUUUAUUUAUUUAGUUUUUUAGUUUUUAGAGCUGCUUUUGUACAGGCACUGUACUAGGGCAGCUGCAUACCUUUCAACACUUUCUUUUUUAUAUUUACAUUUGUAUUGAAUGGACACUUUAUCAUGACUGCCACUUGUUUUAAAGAAAUCAAAUAGUAUGUUAUUCUCCAGUGCAGAGCCUUUACUUUUAUUUAUACAGCCGCUUUAUUUCAUUUGAGUUUGUUUGUUUGAAGGUUCAGACAAAUAAAAGACAGUUAUCUUGAAAGCCACAUGUGUAAGCUCUCAGAUACUUUUAGAUUUUUUUUUCUAUCUGCUACAGAGGCCGAGAUAUCAGCUUUUUUGUAAACCUCAACACUUCAGAAAACCUCAGGAUCUGGGGGCCCUUCUCAAAAUUGCCACUCAGGAUUUCAGAGGCUUGUCUCAGACAGGGUUCAGGUCUUAAUGGGUUAAUAGAAACAUGUAUUGAUCAUGAGCGACAAGCACGGAAGUUUUUCUGUUGCAGUAUAGCAACAGUAAACACCUGACAUACAGAUUGUGGGAGGUACAAGUAAAACUGUCAUCAGUAUAUACAGGCCCUAAAAACCAUUUGCAAAGAUAUGUGCAAAAAUGACAAGAUUGUUGACCUAAAACAGCUGCUCAGGUCAUUAUAUGGUGAGAUAAAGAAUAAAUUGAUCAUAUUCUUAACAGCCUUCUUUACAUGACUUAUGAAGCUUUGCAAAAACAAUUUCCAUUUACUGGGAAAACAAAGGCUUAUAGUCAAUUAAACGGACAAAAAGACAGUUAUACUUAAAAACAGACAGUUUUCUCCUGAAGAACAAAAAAUGAGAUGAUUUCCUAAUUUAAACUUGGUUAAAUCGCAGGCUACAUGUUAAGCAUUGCUGUGGUUUAAUCUUAUCAUGCUUACAUUACAUAUUAUAUGUUUUGCCCACUAGCCUCAGCACAUAGUCUCACUGACAAUGUCACAAAUCCAAUAAAUACCAGCUGAUGUGCUGAAAACAAAACACGGCAGAAAACAGAUUCAGGUACAAAAUGAAGGCAAACUGUCCCUGACACAGAAACACAUUGAGAAGUCUAUAAGUGGCAUCUUUCUUAAGUACAGACUGUGUCUGGUUGUACGCUCUUAUCUCUUGCCUGUGUUAUUUGGCAGCUGCAGAGUUCAGCCUCUCUGUGUUUUUCUCCACAGCGACCUGCUCGGCCACCCACCACAC
rnacentral:lncRNA from 1 species